AACAACCCUGGCCUUUUGUGGACAUCAAUAGAGGUCUAAAACAACCACCGGACACGGGGCCAAAGACAAAGCAUCACUGCAGAGGAGGUGCCGAGUGCUCAUUGGCCAUCCUCUCCGCUACGGUCGACCAGGCGAUGUUCCUUGAAGAAAUGAAUCACUUUGUUGAUCAAGAGUUUGAUGAUGUAAUGGAAGCAGCAGGUGCCGGGCUGAAAGGUGAAACCAGACACGACACUGUUGAUGCUGACAGAGAGGGCAGACGGCAUCGUAUCAGUCUGGAGUCCUUUCCCUUCAUCUGUAACUGUUCCUCUUCUUGGUGAGGCAGGGGGGAGCACCGAAAGAG
ensembl:lncRNA